UUUUAGCCCCGACAGUAGUGGCACCUUGUAUAACGGAUGGCGGGAAAAUGG
rnacentral:sRNA from 1 species